ACGCUCGACACCUACGGGGGGCAGCAGUCGGGAAUAUUGCGCAAUGGAGGAAACUCUGACGCAGUGACGCCGCGUGCAGGAAGAAGGUUUUCGGAUUGUAAACUGCUUUAGACAGGGAAGAAAAAAGACAGUACCUGUAGAAUAAGCUCCGGCUAACUACGUGCCACAGCCGCGGUAAUCUGAGCGGGCUGGCAAGGC
rnacentral:rRNA from 1 species